rnacentral:rRNA from 1 species
UACGGGGGGGGUAAGCGUUGUUCGGAAUUACUGGGCGUAAAGGGCUCGUAGGCGGCCAACUAAGUCAGACGUGAAAUCCCCAGGCUCAACCUGGGAACUGCGUCUGAUACUGGAUGGCUUGAAUCCGGGAGAGGGAUGCAGAAUUCCAGGUGUAGCGGUGAAAUGCGUAGAUAUCUGGAGGAAUACCGGUGGCGAAGGCGGCAUCCUGGACCGGCAUUGACGCUGAGGAGCGAAAGCUAGGGGAGCAAACGGG